AGUUGGACAUGGGUUGAUUUUGAGGAUUCUUACAUGACUUUAAGUCUUCGCCUUAUGCUGAUGCAAUGCCGGUCUGGCUGGUUCUUGUAUUUUAUAUCCAGACUGUGAAUUUUGUUGUUGAGCUCUCUAAUGACCUAUUAACCAAGUCUCAAAUCUCUGCUAACCUAUUCACCUUGCGUAAAUAAGUCUACAAUCUCUGUUUGAGUGUCUUGACUUGUGUGUAGCCACCUGUUAUAGAAGAUCAAUUAGCACUUGAGUGAGAGUUCAUAUGUCCUUAGUCCUCACUGAUAUUACAAUAUUUGAAUAUCCCUACUCUCUUAAGCUAUUAGUCUUUCUCUGAAGAUGCUGUCUCCUCUUUAGGUAAAGGUGCUUUCUCCAGUCCCCAGUCUUUAUGGGACAUUUCAUUGGCAACCAUACUUUCUUUUCUCCAAGGAUUAGUGAAACAAAGUAAUGUCUUUAGUUAAUUAGUUGGUUCCAUUGGUAUCUUUCUACCAUAUAUUUUCGGUUAGAGCAUCUCUUGUAUGAUUGCAUUAAGCUUGAGACGAAGCAUUAAUUCGGUUGCCGAUCUAAUACUGAUUUCAUAUAUAAUAACUUAGAAAUGAUGCUGCAAUGCAAGUGCUAUAGCCACAUGAAAUUAAUUGUACCCUUAUGAAGUGAACUAUUGCAAGAUACAGCAAGUGUUAUGAGUCUUCAGAGACCGCUCUAGUAGAAUC
rnacentral:lncRNA from 1 species